rnacentral:rRNA from 1 species
UACGGAGGGUGCAAGCGUUAUCCGGAUUCAUUGGGCGUAAAGGGUGCGUAGGCGGCGCGGUAAGUCGGGUGUGAAAUCUCGGGGCUUAACUCCGAAACUGCAUUCGAUACUGCCGUGCUUGAGGACUGGAGAGGAGACUGGAAUUUACGGUGUAGCGGUGAAAUGCGUAGAUAUCGUAAGGAAGACCAGUGGCGAAGGCGGGUCUCUGGACAGUUCCUGACGCUGAGGCACGAAGGUCAGGGGAGCAAACGGG